rnacentral:lncRNA from 10 species
AUUAUGAAAGCGGCGAUGUCAUAAAUUGUCUGAAGAUGGCAAAGUCAAAUUAAAUUCCAUCGUCAAAAAAGGCUGCCAGCUGGUGUUUGAGUUGAAACCUUUUUGCCAAGAAGGAAGGCGCUAUAUUCCUUGUCCAGGAAGAUGCUAUGGCUCUGCUCUCACAAGUGGAUUAAUGCUGUUAUCAUGAGAGUGGGUUAGUUGCCACUAGAAUGAGUUUCUGAUAAAAGGGAAGAAAUCUUAAAAGUUUGAGAAGAAAAUAUGGUAAAUAACUAAGAGAAAUCUCUGGUCAAUACUCAACAAGUCCUUCAGUCCAACAAUAUUCCAUACAUGAAAUCCUGCCAAAAACCAGGUUAAAGAGAGAUCAUCAAUCAGAGGACCCAAUUAAGCUGUGACCAGAGUCCUGGCCCAUUGCAACUGUGAACAAAGUGCAUGUUGUUUAGGCUGCUAAACUUGUGGUUAUUUGUUUCACAAUAGUAAGUAACUUAUAAAAAUGCUCUAUACUCGUGAUCCUCAUUAUCAAUGAAACAUCUCAUUAUUCAUGUAAGGACAUUGAAUUCCUUAAAAAUUGAGGUAAACUAUCUUGAAAACAAAGCCCAAGGGGUUAAUGCAUUUUCAUAUACCCUCCUUCACCUGCUAGAGAUCAAGUUAAAGAAGUCACAAUCACUAUUACUGUUGUAGAAAAGGUACUCCUUUUCCUUUAUUCAGGCUCUUACUUGUGCUUAGAAUAAAUGUUUGUGGCUUCUAUGGUUAACUAGCUGAAACAUAAAGGCUUUGGUUAUUGUAUGUUCCCUUCGAAGGCCAUUUGUAGUAUUGAUUUAACCCACAAGCACUUUGGACGUUGUUUUUGCCUCAAUCAUUCAAGCAGGUGGUUCUGUACAAUGUAGAACACAGCUUAAAGGGAAAAACAUAGAAAGACAUCAACUCUACAAGCAGCUCCUGUAGUAGCUCUGGAAACAUUGUGAAGUAACUCUAUGCACAAUAUUAUUGAUACCUAUUUGGAAUUUUCCUAUAAUGGGACAAAUUUGAUAUACAAUCUAUUUACAUUAUAGAAUCUUUCCUAAUGCACCUGUGUCUCACUGACAG